rnacentral:lncRNA from 1 species
CACCAAGGGAACUGGAAAAUAUUGUGUUACGGAUUCUUCCCUGGAAAGCUGAGGUUUUUUGCUGCGGGGAAGUAUAGAAAUAAAAAUGAGAGAGGGUGUGUAAAUGACAGUUUUCGACUUACCUUGCUGAAUGGGUUGGUUGCUGGAAGUCAGGGCUAUGGGGAGAGCUCUAAGCAGCCAGCUGGAGGACAGGCAUCGCUUAUGACAAAAGAGCUGGAUUUGGAGGUGCCUAGCAGGAAGUUUUCCAAAGAGAUAGCAGAGCUCCAGGGGACCGUGAGUGAGCUGUGGACAUCUGCCAUGCCACAGGGCACCAAUGCCCUUUUACAAUCCCUCCACUCAAGUAUUUAUGGAGCAUUGUUUUAUGGUGAUGAAUAGGACAGGGAAAGCCUCUGUUUUCAUGGUGCUCAUACGUUCAAGGAAGAGAGUCACCAAAAUCUGAUAAAUAAGAAACUAACUAACUGUGAGAAUAUCACGUAAUGAAAGUACUAUUAGAAAAUGAAACAAGGUGUGAAGGUGAGGAUGAAGGGGAGAGUGAAUGAAGGCCACGUUCAAUGGAAUGCUCAGGAAGGUCUUUUGGGGGAGGACCUGGUUAAAGGUGUUUUUAUCGCUUUCUUCUUUGAAUCAUGGUUAUUGACUUUAAUCUCUCAUUCUGUAUGGUAAACUUUUUAAGGGCAUUAUCUUUUUCUAACUCAUCUUUGCAGCCUGCAGAGCUUACAGCCUUGUGCCUUCCACUCAGGAGGUGUUCAAUCAACCGUUGUUAAACGAGGGAUGAUGAUCUCAUAUAGACCUACAGAAUCUCAGAGCUGAGGAUUAUCAACCACAUUAUACAGAAAGGUCGAGUCACUUGACUAAGGUAAUCAGUGGGGUAUUGGGAUUCAAACCCACUCCAUGAUACUAAUCUUUCUGGAAGCCCAUAGAUAGUUUUUUCAGAAAAAUGGGAAUGCAGUUUUAGUUAGAAGAUUUCAAACUUUUGAAAUCAUGGAAAUACCAGUUUAAAAAGUAUGGAACACUGAGAUCAAGCAGAUGACAAUUCUGCAGCCUGACUGUAGGGAAGGGAUGAUGUAGGAGGGGUGCAGAGCAGAAGAAUGGAAUUUUUUCUGGGUUAUAAUUAUCAGUUUUUAGAGCUUCCGAGUGGAGAGCCACUUUAGAUCACUGACAAAAACGGUUCAGCAAUUUAAAAUUUGGUUCCAAUUAUCCAGGAGCUGGAAAAGCCCAACACUUUUGAUAAAGUGGUACUGGGAAGUAGGGAAGUGGUAUUGCGGAAAUUCAAGACAUAAAUGAAGAAAAUUCUUUGGUUAUCAUCUCGUUUAGCCUGAUAUUACUUCGCUGCUCUUUUGUGGAUUUUAUCGGACUUUUAUAUUGUAUAAAAUAUAUU